AGCGAACGCUGGCGGCAGGCCUAACACAUGCAAGUCGAACGAACUCUUCGGAGUUAGUGGCGGACGGGUGAGUAACACGUGGGAACGUGCCUUUUGGUUCGGAAUAACUCAGGGAAACUUGUGCUAAUACCGAAUGUGCCCUUCGGGGGAAAGAUUUAUCGCCAUUAGAGCGGCCCGCGUCUGAUUAGCUAGUUGGUGAGGUAACGGCUCACCAAGGCGACGAUCAGUAGCUGGUCUGAGAGGAUGACCAGCCACACUGGGACUGAGACACGGCCCAGACUCCUACGGGAGGCAGCAGUGGGGAAUCUUGCGCAAUGGGCGAAAGCCUGACGCAGCCAUGCCGCGUGAAUGAUGAAGGUCUUAGGAUUGUAAAAUUCUUUCACCAGGGACGAUAAUGACGGUACCCGGAGAAGAAGCCCCGGCUAACUUCGUG
rnacentral:rRNA from 1 species